UACGAAGGGUGCAAGCGUUAAUCGGAAUUACUGGGCGUAAAGCGUGCGCAGGCGGUUAUGCAAGACAGAGGUGAAAUCCCCGGGCUCAACCUGGGAACUGCCUUUGUGACUGCAUAGCUAGAGUACGGCAGAGGGGGAUGGAAUUCCGCGUGUAGCAGUGAAAUGCGUAGAUAUGCGGAGGAACACCGAUGGCGCAGGCAAUCCCCUGGGCCUGUACUGACGCUCAUGCACGAAAGCGUGGGGAGCAAACAGG
rnacentral:rRNA from 1 species